UACGAAGGGUGCAAGCGUUAAUCGGAAUUACUGGGCGUAAAGCGUGCGCAGGCGGUUAUGCAAGACAGAGGUGAAAUCCCCGGGCUCAACCUGGGAACUGCCUUUGUGACUGCAUAGCUAGAGUACGGCAGAGGGGGAUGGAAUUCCGCGUGUAGCAGUGAAAUGCGUAGAUAUGCGGAGGAACACCGAUGGCGAAGGCAAUCCCCUGGGCCUGUACUGACGCUCAUGCACGAAAGCGUGGGGAGCAAACAGG
rnacentral:rRNA from 1 species